rnacentral:rRNA from 1 species
GACGAACGCUGGCGGCGUGCUUAACACAUGCAAGUCGAACGGAAAGGCCCUGCUUUUGUGGGGUGCUCGAGUGGCGAACGGGUGAGUAACACGUGAGUAACCUGCCCUUGACUUUGGGAUAACUUCAGGAAACUGGGGCUAAUACCGGAUAGGAGCUCCUGCUGCAUGGUGGGGGUUGGAAAGUUUCGGCGGUUGGGGAUGGACUCGCGGCUUAUCAGCUUGUUGGGGGGGUAGUGGAUUACCAAGGCUUUGACGGGUAGCCGGCCUGAGAGGGUGGGCGGCCACAUUAGGACGGAGAGGCGGCCCAGACUACUACGGGAGGCAGAGGUGAGGAAUGUUGCACGAUGGGAGGAAGCCUGAUGCGACAACGCCGGGUGGGGGAUGACGGCCUGGUGGUUGUCAACCGCUUUCGCCUGUGACGAAGCGUGAGUGACGGUAAUGGGUAAAGAAGCACCGGCUAACUACGUG